CCGCCCAGUGCGCCGCCGACAGCUGCCUCGGUGUUGCCGCCAGCGAAUGCCGCGCCGCUGGCCAGGCCGAAGGAGAGCAGGAGUAUGGGUGCGUACUUCAUGACGUGGGGAACCUCAGUGGGGAUGACGAGGCGAUCCUCUCCGCCGUGAAGGCUUUGUGCAAGCAUUUUCUGCCGAUCUGCAGGAUUUUUUGUUGCUUUGUAACUCGUUGUUUGUUAAGGGGAACUUUGCGAAAUCGGGACUGUCAACCUUUUUCUGCAGGUCGUUCCUGCCUUUUCCCCAGCCUUCCGGCGACCGUCGUGAUCCGCUCUGGCACGGUCUU
rnacentral:sRNA from 1 species